AGAGUUUGAUCCUGGCUCAGAUUGAACGCUGGCGGAAUGCUUUACACAUGCAAGUCGAACGGCAGCACGGGAGCUUGCUCCUGGUGGCGAGUGGCGAACGGGUGAGUAAUGCGUCGGAACGUACCGAGUAAUGGGGGAUAACGCAGCGAAAGUUGUGCUAAUACCGCAUACGCCCUGAGGGGGAAAGUGGGGGAUCGCAAGACCUCACGUUAUUCGAGCGGCCGACGUCUGAUUAGCUAGUUGGUGGGGUAAUGGCUCACCAAGGCGACGAUCAGUAGCGGGUCUGAGAGGAUGAUCCGCCACACUGGGACUGAGACACGGCCCAGACUCCUACGGGAGGCAGCAGUGGGGAAUUUUGGACAAUGGGGGCAACCCUGAUCCAGCCAUUCCGCGUGAGUGAAGAAGGCCUUCGGGUUGUAAAGCUCUUUCAGCUGGAACGAAACGGUACGCUCUAACAUAGCGUGCUACUGACGGUACCAGCAGAAGAAGCACCGGCUAACUACGUGCCAGCAGCCGCGGUAAUACGUAGGGCGCGAGCGUUAAUCGGAAUUACUGGGCGUAAGCGUGCGCAGGCGGAUUGUUAAGCAAGACGUGAAAUCCCCGGGCUUAACCUGGGAAUGGCGUUUUGAACUGGCAGUCUAGAGUGCGUCAGAGGGGGGUGGAAUUCCACGUGUAGCAGUGAAAUGCGUAGAGAUGUGGAGGAACACCGAUGGCGAAGGCAGCCCCCUGGGAUGACACUGACGCUCAUGUACGAAAGCGUGGGUAGCAAACGGGAUUAGAUACCCUGGUAGUCCACGCCC
rnacentral:rRNA from 1 species